rnacentral:rRNA from 1 species
AAUCAACGCUGGCGGCGUGCCUCAGACAUGCAAGUCGAACGAUUAAGACUCCCUUCGGGGAGUGCAUAAAGUGGCGCACGGGUGAGUAACACGUAAGUAAUCUACCUUCGAGUGGGGAAUAACAUCGGGAAACCGAUGCUAAUACCGCAUAACGCAGCGGCACCUAAUGGUGACAGUUGUUAAAGGAGCAAUUCGCUUGAAGAGGAGCUUGCGGCAGAUUAGCUUGUUGGUAAGGUAAUGGCUUACCAAGGCUACGAUCUGUAUCCGGUCUAGGAGGACGGUCGGACACACUGACACUGAAGAACGGGUCAGACUCCUGAGGGAGGCAGCAGUCGGGAAUUGUGGGCAAUGGGCGAAAGCCUGACCCAGCAACGCCGCGUGAAGGAUGAAGUUUUUCGGAAUGUAGACUUCGAAAGAAUGGGAAGAAUAAAUGACGGUACCAUUUAUAAGGUCCGGCUAACUACGUGCCAGCAGCCGCGGUAACAC